rnacentral:rRNA from 1 species
UACGUAGGGGGCAAGCGUUGUCCGGAUUUAUUGGGCGUAAAGAGCGUGUAGGCGGCCAGGUAGGUCUGCUGUGAAAACCCGAGGCUCAACCUCGGGCCUGCAGUCGAUACGGGCAGACUAGAGUUCGGUAGGGGAGACUGGAAUUCCUGGUGUAGCGGUGAAAUGCGCAGAUAUCAGGAAGAACACCCGUGGCGAAGGCGGCUCUCUGGGCCGUUACUGACGCUGAGGAGCGAAAGCGUGGGGAGCGAACAGG